CGGGGGGUAGCGCAGUCCGGUUCAGCGCGCAUGGUUCGGGACCAUGAGGCCGAGGGUUCAAAUCCCUCCCCCCCGA
rnacentral:tRNA from 1 species